UACGGGGGGAGCAAGCGUUGUUCGGAUUUACUGGGCGUAAAGGGCGCGUAGGCGGCCACUGCAAGUCAGUUGUGAAAUCUCCGGGCUUAACCCGGAAAGGUCAACUGAUACUGCAGGGCUAGAGUGCAGAAGGGGCAACUGGAAUUCUCGGUGUAGCGGUGAAAUGCGUAGAUAUCGAGAGGAACACCUGCGGCGAAAGCGGCUCACUGGACCACAACUGACGCUGAGGCGCGAAAGCCAGGGGAGCAAACGGG
rnacentral:rRNA from 1 species